AGACCAUACUCCUACUUUAUUCAUCAUUUUUUAAUAUUUCACAAUUUUUUAAACCCUUAUUCAUCAACUCCUCUUGAUUUAAUAAUUAUUUCUUUAUGUAAAUCUCUAUCAUCAGUUAAUAAUAUGACGUUACCUUAGUAAGAAUCCCCGGCUAACUACGUUCCAGCAUCCGCUUUAAUACGUAUGGGGCAAUCGUUAUCCGGAUUUACUGGGUGUAAAGUGAGCGUAGACGGUGAGCCAAUUCUGAAGUGAAAGCCCGGGGCUAAAAAAAGGGAAUGCUUUGGAAACUGAAUGAAUGGAGUGAUGGAGAGGAAAGAGGAAUUACUAGUGUAGAGGUGAAAUGAGUAGAUAUUAGGAAGAAAACCAGUGGAGAAGGAGGAUUGAUGGAAAGUAAAUGAAGUUGAGGAUAGAAAGAGUGGGGAGAAAAAAGGAUUAGAUAAAAAAGUAA
rnacentral:rRNA from 1 species